UUUCCAUGUUACUUGGACUCAGCAAAGAUCUCUCUCCAUUCAAGAUGGUGCAAGAAUUCCCCAAAAUACAGCUCAUGGAUUGUGCUCAUUUACUCGAUUUUGCAUACCGUGUUAUCGUGCCAAAGUUGGAGGAACAAUCUCAUGAUCAUCAUAGAACUGAAAUUGAGGAAGACGGUGAAUCAAAGGAAGGCGAGAAGGAUUCUUUUACAGGCGAACUCGACGGUGAAUCAAUUGCUCAUUUACUCGAUUUUGCAUACCGUGUUAUCGUGCCAAAGUCGGAGGAACAAUCUCAUGAUCAUCAUAUAACUGAAAUUGAGGAAGACGGUGAAUCAAAGGAAGGCGAGAAGGAUUCUUUCACAGGCGAACC
rnacentral:lncRNA from 1 species